rnacentral:rRNA from 1 species
AAUAACAACCUGAGAGAGAUAUCUCUACAGGAUUGCAAUGAUGCGAAUUUAAAUCACUUCUAGAGGAACAAUUGGAGGGCAAGUCUGGUGCCAGCUGCCGCGGUAAUUCCAGCUCCAAUAGCGUAUACAUAAGUUGUUGCAGUUAAAAAGCUCGUAGUUGAAGUUCUGGAUGGGCACAAAUGUGGCUACGGUCUGUUUGUUGCUCAUCCAUCCGUCUGCAAGCCUACAAUGGUCUUAAGUGAUCAGGGUAGAGGAGCAGACACUUUACCUUGAAAAAAUUAGAGUGUUUCAGGCAGGUAUUCGCCGGAAUACAUUAGCAUGGAAUAAUGGAAUAGGACUCCUAUCCUUUGUUGGUUCUAGGUCGGGAGUAAUGAUUAAUAGGAACAGAUGGGGGCAUUAGUAUUUAAUUGUCAGAGGUGGAAUUCUUGGAUUUAUUAAAGACUAACUUAUGCGAAAGCAUUUGCCAAGGAUGUUUUCAUUAAUCAAGAACGAAAGUUAGGGGAUCAAAGACGAUCAGAUACCGUCGUAGUCUUAACUAUAAACUAUACCGACUCGGGAUCGGAGGGGUUAAUGUUUUGCCCCUUCGGCACCGUAUGAGAAAUCAAAGUCUUUGGGUUCUGGGGGGAGUAUGGUCGCAAGGCUGAAACUUAAAGGAAUUGACGGAAGGGCACACCAGAAGUGGAGCCUGCGGCUUAAUUUGACCCAACACGGGGAAACUUACCAGGUCAAAACAUGGAUGGGAUUGACAGAUUGAAAGCUCUUUCUUGAUUCUAUGGGUGGUGGUGCAUGGCCGUUCCUAGUUGGUGGAGUGAUUUGUCUGGUUAAUUCCGAUAACGAACGAGACCUUAACCUGCUAACUAGUUCUGACCUACCCAGGUUAGUAACUUCUUAGAGGGACUAUGCGUGUAAACGCAUGGAAGUUUGAGGCAAUAACAGGUCUGUGAUGCCCCUAGACGUCCUGGGCCGCACGCGCGCUACACUGACACGUUCAGCGAGCAACUUUACCUGGCCCGAAAGGGUUCGGGAAAUCUUGUUAGGACGUGUCGUGCUGGGGAUAGAUCUUUGCAAUUAUAGAUCUUGAACGAGGAAUUUCUUGUAAGCACAAGUCAUCAGCCUGUGCUGAAUACGUCCCUGCCCUUUUUACACACCGCCCGUCGCUCCUACCGAUUUCGAGUGAUGAGGUGAACCUUCCGGACUGCGUAUGGGCUCGAACCAUGUGCAGGAAGUUAUGUAAACCUUAUCACUUAGAGGAAGGAGAAGUCGUAACAAGGUU